ensembl:snRNA U6 U6 spliceosomal RNA
AUGCUUGCUUUGGCAGCACAUAAACUAAUAUUGGAAUGAUUCAGAGAUUAGUGUGGCCCCUGCACAAGGAUGGCACACAUAAGAACUUUGGAGACUAUUGUAACAAUUUU